UACGGGGGGGGCAAGCGUUGUUCGGAAUUACUGGGCGUAAAGGGCUCGUAGGCGGCCAACUAAGUCAAACGUGAAAUCCCUCGGCUUAACCGGGGAACUGCGUCUGAUACUGGAUGGCUUGAGGUUGGGAGAGGGAUGCGGAAUUCCAGGUGUAGCGGUGAAAUGCGUAGAUAUCUGGAGGAACACCGGUGGCGAAGGCGGCAUCCUGGACCAAUUCUGACACUGAGGAGCGAAAGCCAGGGAGCAAACGGG
rnacentral:rRNA from 1 species